GGGGACGUAGCUCAGUUGGUAGAGCGCGCGCUUCGCAUCAAGCGCAAAGCAGGUUUGAUCUGCGUGAGGUCGCGAAUUCGAUCUUCGCCGUCUCCA